rnacentral:rRNA from 1 species
AGAGUUUGAUCCUGGCUCAGAACGAACGUUAGCGGCGCGCCUAACACAUGCAAGUCGCACGAGAAAGGGCUUCGGCCCCGGUACAGUGGCGCACGGGUGAGUAACACGUGGGUAACCUGCCUUCGAGCGGGGGAUAACAUUCCGAAAGGAGUGCUAAUACCGCAUAAGACCACGUCGCCGAAAGGCAAUGAGGUAAAAGCUGGCUUCUGUACACAUGCUAGCACUUGAAGAUGGGCCCGCGGCGCAUCAGCUAGUUGGCAGGGUAAUGGCCUACCAAGGCUAAGACGCGUAGCUGGUCUGAGAGGAUGAUCAGCCACACUGGAACUGAGACACGGUCCAGACUCCUACGGGAGGCAGCAGUGGGGAAUCUUGCGCAAUGGGCGAAAGCCUGACGCAGCGACGCCGCGUGAGUGAUGAAGGCCUUCGGGUUGUAAAGCUCUGUGGGGAGAGAAGAAUAAGUGUUGGUUAAUAUCCACCAUGAUGACGGUAUCUCCUUAGCAAGCACCGGCUAACUCUGUGCCAGCAGCCGCGGUAAUUC